rnacentral:rRNA from 1 species
UGGGGAAUUUUGGACAAUGGGGGCAACCCUGAUCCAGCCAUGCCGCGUGAGUGAAGAAGGCCUUCGGGUUGUAAAGCUCUUUCAGCCGGGAAGAAAGCGCACUCUCUAACAUAGGGUGUGGAUGACGGUACCGGAAGAAGAAGCACCGGCUAACUACGUGCCAGCAGCCGCGGUAAUACGUAGGGUGCGAGCGUUAAUCGGAAUUACUGGGCGUAAAGGGUGCGCAGGCGGUUUUGUAAGACAGAUGUGAAAUCCCCGGGCUUAACCUGGGAACUGCGUUUGUGACUGCAAGGCUAGAGUACGGCAGAGGGGGGUGGAAUUCCGCGUGUAGCAGUGAAAUGCGUAGAUAUGCGGAGGAACACCGAUGGCGAAGGCAACCCCCUGGGCCUGUACUGACGCUCAUGCACGAAAGCGUGGGGAGCAAACA